rnacentral:rRNA from 1 species
CAGUAGCCGCGGGAAUACGAAGGUCCCGAGCGUUGUUCGGAAUCACUGGGCGUAAAGGGAGCGUAGGCGGCGUGGUAAGUCAGAUGUGAAAUCCCGGGGCUCAACCCCGGAACUGCAUCCGAUACUGCCAUGCUAGAGGAUUGGAGAGGUAGCUGGAAUUCUUGGUGUAGCAGUGAAAUGCGUGGAGAUCAAGAGGAACACUCGUGGCGAAAGCGAGCUACUGGACAAUAACUGACGCUGAGGCUCGAAGGCCAGGGUAGCGAAAGGGAUUAGAUACCCCCGUAGUCCCUGUCUCUUAUAC